rnacentral:lncRNA from 1 species
GUGAUUAGGCCUCUGUUAAAUCCCAUACCAUGGUUUGGUAGGUACACUAUGGAGCUUAGGAAUUCUAGAGUCAACCUAGUGAUGGAACUAAAUUUCCUCUUGAUAGCAAAGGUGUCCCAGCCUAGUUGGUUGAUUAGGAACAUGACAUUGUCUAUUAUACCUAAUUUGGUCAUGGUUAGUUCAUCUGGGUAUAAGGUUAUUGUCAUUUCUCUCUGAAAUAGAGUCUCAAAAUGUCUCCUUUGAGCUCUUCCUCUGAAGACUAUAUCCAUGUAAUCUACUUGUUG